AAAAAAAGAGAGGAGAGGAGGAUUGUUAAAGGGACCUUCUGUUGUGAGCAAAACCGACUCCAGAUGGCUCUUACUGAACCGUUAUCAGCUGGUUAACGCUCUGACUUUACAACAGCUUCAGCUUUGGAUGAAUACUCUGGAAAUCGGCAGGGACGCUGGUACAGACGAUCUGUCCCGAGAUGCUUGCUCCUUAUCCCGCGUGGGCAGCGCCCCUGUGCCCAGCGACCCAGCCUGAUCUCCCAAACAUCAGCAGUGCCGAAAGUCAGGCCUCUGAGGAAGUGGGGCAGGGGCUCACCAGAGCGGGGGUCUCCCCUCUCAGUCAGGGCUGAUGACAGAAGUUCAAGUGGCAAGCCGUGAAGCUGAACAACAGUGGAUCCCUGCUUGGAAUCAUCCACAAACUGGGGCAUUUCUCCCAAUCUCUGGACACCUGGUUUGAGCAUGGGUUGGGGCUGCACAGCUGGGUUCAGGCUGCAGCAGCAGAGCCACCCAGGGCACAGGCCAGAAAUCAAGAGCGGGAAGUUAGUGCUGUCUGAUUUAAUCUUAGUCCCAGAAAAGGGUGGCCUGGGGGAACUAGGCUGCCCACAAAGGCGUCUCCACACAAACCGACAGGCAGGGGGGCAUGGAGCACUGCUCCCAGGGGAGAGGGCUGGUCUCUUCCCAGUGCCUUUCUCCUGGUAGCAGAGACCAAAGCCCACCCCAGAGUUUGCACUGCCAGACUGGGCUCUGGUUAGUGCGGCGAGUUGAAAGGCCAGGCCUACUGAGUUGCCAGCACCCCUCUGCCUGGCAGGCGAAGCUCCCUCAAAGUUGGUGGCUUCUGUGCCCCACCUCGAUGUUCAGCAGUGAAUUUGCAGAGAAGCAGCCUCCCAUGAGCCCUUGGGCUGAACCAAGAGGAGAAGGCGCGGACGACGUGCAGAUCUCAAGCCUGGACUGUUUGGAGCUUUCAGGGAUGAGGUUUGGAGCCAGUUCUGACCUGAGCUGGCCUGGUCAGCGCUGCCCUUGGCUGUCCAAAUGGACCCAUGCUAAUCUUAAAAGGAGGAAGAGCUGGCAGGGAAGGAGGCACAUCCCCUCUCCAAAUGAGGGUUGUCUGACUGCGUUAUAACAGGCUGGGCUCUUCCCAAGGGGUGAGCAGCUUGGGACCCUGUUAUGAGAGUGCCCUGAGAGAUGCCUGUACUUAUGCAGCUAGUUAAUGUGCCAGUAGGUGGUGCUCAAGAACCCACUGCAUUGUUCAUGUUGCCAAGCGAUCGAAGUUGUUCUAAGUGGGGUGUCAGGAGGAAGAGGGUCGUUGCUUUGAUGUGGCUGAGCGAGGGCCCACUCAAGGGCCACGUGUGCUCUCCUUCCACAGGAAUGCCAAGCUCCACUGCAGCACUUUCAAAGUGUGUUACAUUUUACAGAUGGGGAAACCAAGGAACGGAAAGGCAGACUUGCCCAAAGUCGCCCAGCAGCAGAGCCAGGAAUAGAACCCAGGUGUCCUGAACACCAGUUCUGUGCUCUCCACCAGGCCACAGCUGGGGUGGGAGCCCAAGAAGACACUUGGUUAAUGGUAUGCCUAGCUGCUCCAGGCUUCAUGCCUCAUCUCUUGGCUGGCAGGUUAGAGGAUCAAACAGCUGGCUGGGAAGGGACAGAGUGUUCGGGAGCUCAGUGAUUUUUUGCGGGAGGAUCAAAGCAUGUUACUCUAACCCUUCCAGAUCCAGCACCGAAACGAAGGGACAAUAUUUAAAAACAGCAGGAUUUUCCAUCCUGCAAAAUGAUGUGAGAUUUUGACUAUUUUUGCCAUCCUGUGUCAGACCAAAAAGCCAAAAUUUCCAACUUUUCCCGGAAUGAAAUACCCUCGAAGUCGCUUACAAUGGCACUCAACAAGCUGGUUGAUGAAAUGGCAUUUGGCUGAGCAACUCCAGGGAGCAGGUGAUCAGCCCUGAUCCAGAGGAAAUUUUCCACAUUCAGAGCCCAACCCCGAAAGAUGCUGCUGCCCCUGUUGUUCUGAGGGGGCAUGGAUGGGGGUGUGUGGGGAUGUGCCAAUCUAGGGCAAACUCCUUUUCCUCACACCCACCCACGCUCGCAGUGAGGCCGGGUGACUGCCAGCCCCCACCUGAUUGACCUUUAAAUCUCUGGCCCCUCCAGUGCAGCCCGUUAGAGCUUUAACCCUUUGAGCACUGGUGCCGAGUCUUACAAGUAGGCAUGGCAGGACACUGCGACAGCAUGGCAGGUGAUGACCUCCUUCAUGGCCACCCCUCACUGGCCCCUGAAAGCCAGCCAAAGUCUUGAAUGUUGGGAGCCUGACUCAAGGGGCUUCUCCAAAAUAGCUCAAAGCCCAUUGGGGGAGCGGGGAGAAAUCGGACUCCUUUAUUUCAGAUCUAAAGGAGAUCUAAGCUUUGGAAGAAUCCUGCUCUGAUUUGUGGGUGCCGAUCCCUUGGAAAUCCAGCCCCAGGAUGGUUGGGAAGCUACGAUCCACUUCCAUCACAAGGCUGUUCAAUGCUUAAAGAGCUCACAAAGUCUCCUGCUGCAGGGACCAUCUGCAAAUGCAGGAGGCACCCGAACUCCUGUGGCAGCUUUAGAACCUUGGGGACCUUGUGUUUGUGAGAUGGCCUUUUCAAAUUCACCCGGUCCCCAGCACACAAGUCACAAAAUCUCUUACACUCAGUCAUCAAAGGGCUAAAAUGACACUGUUGGUUAGAUCCCCUCCUGAGACAUAGCUCUCAGCUGUGGUGUUUUCAGCCAAGAUGAUUGAGACACUUGAUUCCCAUUCGUUUAGAGGGGAAUCGGAAUGUCUCGACACCUCGGGCAUCUUUGCAAUGCUCAGCGUUGGUGUUAAAAAUAAA